GAGGCAUGAGGUUCACGCAGCCAGAGUAGAUGACAGCCCUGGGAUGGCCUGUGUUGCAGGCUGGGCCCCCGCCCUGGCUUCUGGUCUUGCGCCGAGCCCCAGGGUGCUCCCGAGCUGGCGGGGAUGAAUGCUCCUGUCUCAGACCCCAGCCUGGGGCACCGAUGUGGCUUCUCCUGGGUGGGGCUGGCCCCUGAGCCCACCUUGGCUUGAUGAGCUGGGGCUGUAGAAGCAGGGGCUUGCCUCUUUAGCAUCUGCUCCUCAGAGAAGGGGUCCUACAUUUGCUGGAACGUUCCCUGUGCUUGCUGCUCUGCACGCCCCUCCGUUGCCCCUCUGCAAACCGUGAUCCCGCACCUGUGUGUUCACUUGCUUUAUGAGGUUAGGAGCUGCGGUCCCAGGGGCCUUGGAGGAGUGGCCAGGCCAGACGACACUUCAGCUGGUGGUGUCCCAAGGGGAUUCUGCCUCCAGAGGCACCUCGAGAGACCAGCACUCUGCGGGGUCCUUCUCUUUGGUUCCUGCCCCUCCCCUUUUCCAAGGGAUCAAGGUCAGGAAGCAAAUGAGAUUCCCUGGUCCCCAUCUCCCUCCCACCCCCCACCCAGAGAAAGAUGCUUUUAUGUCCUUUCAGGCGUCCCCCAGGAGCCGAGGAAGAAAGGCAGGGAAGACAGGCUAGGACCACUUGCCUGGAGAAACAGCAGGCCAUUUUCCAGCUGGAUCUAAAUGAAAGAUUUGGCAGCCUGCCAGCCCACAGCAUCCGCCAGAAUCCCUCCCUGGGGACUGGCGAGACUCAGCCGCUAUCUGCAGUGCCGCCUGCGCCUUCCAGACGAAGGGUCCUCCCUCCUCCCUGAGCUUGACCUUCCCUCUGUUAUUAGCAGUGAUGUCACUAACAAUGAUUAUUCUUCUGCUGUUAUUAUCAUGCACCUUCUUCGUGCUGUGUGCCGUUCGUAUCUCAUUUAUUUCUCAAAUCACCCCUCGGGGGCAGGAGAGAGGUGCACAGCAGUUACGUUUUUUUUUUUCUGUUGAGAAAGAGGAGGCCAGGCAUUGUGUUCUCUGCCAGAUGUCACCUGGCCCCCUUCACCAUGUCCUGGGAAAAUGCCCUAUGUCCCCAAGUCCUGGGUGGGCAGGGCUGCCGUGACCUGGAAGCCCUAGGAGGGGUGCUCCUGGCCAAACCCCAAAAGUCCAGGGUCCACCCGGCCCACCUCCUUUGCCCCAUCUGCUCCACGGGCCCCUGACCUCGGUCGUGUGGUGAUCAAGACAGGCGAGAGGCGGGGUGACUGAGCCCUGAGGGCCCACAGGGACAGAGUCUGUCACCUCCAAGCGGAAAAAGAGGCUACUCCAAGAAGUCCAAGUGAUCAGAAUUCAGUGGUGGCCUGGUGUCCUCAGCAAGUGACUUCUGAGAUUAGACUUUGAGCAUUUUCUUUCCCUUUUUUUGUGGGGGAGGGGGGAGCAGGGACACGGGCCAGGGACAAAGCAGUGCAAACCUUUGCGAAUAAAGGGAGGAAAGGCCCCCUGCCACCGCCCCUGAGAGAGAAAACAAAACGGCAGUUACAAUGGAGUGGUCAAAAGUACCCAAAAUUGGAGUUCCCGUUGUGGCUCAGCAGGUUAAAAACCCAAUGUAGAGUCCUUGAAGAGGCAGGUUCCAUCCCUGGCCUCGCUCAGUGGGUUAAGGAGCCAGCAUUGCUGAGAGUCCUGUGGGGUAGGUCGCAGGUGUGGCUCAGAUCUGGAGUGGCUGUGGCUGUGGCGUAGGCUGGCAGCUGCCCCUCCGAUUCAAACCACAGCCCAGGAACCCCCAUAUGCCACAGGUGCAGCUGUAAAAAGAAACAGGGAAAAAAUACCUACAAUUGACUACAUAAAUUUUGGAAUAUAAUUCUGCAUUGUUUGUACUGAGUCACGGUAAAAGUCAUACAUUUUUGGUAAAGAUAGAUCAUAAAAGCAGAGAAAGCCCUAGGGAGGCUGGAAGAGGCUACACCCUUCCGGGGGGGGAGGGCAGUAGCUGGCUCCUGCCCUUUGAGCAUCGUGCAGGCUCGCACCUGCCCAGACCUCUCCAACCAAGCCUUUGACGAGGUCCAUUCUCCGCUCCUGGCUUCUUGUGCAACCUGUCUUGCUGCCUUCCGGGAGGAGGGUUGAGACUCGUGCUGGCUUGGGAAUAAAUCCUACCCGUCAGAGGAGGCACAUUUGCAAGGAAUUCAUGUCCCACUGCUGCCAGGGAACUCCAGAGCCCUCCUUCCACACCAAGCUCCCUCCACGUUGCUGAGCAGCCCCCAGGGGCCCCCGUGUCUGUCUCCUCAGCCAUCUGACAAACUGGACAACCACCAAAUGUACAGUCAUAUCGCUGUCCCAGCAAUCCAGAUAGUUCUGACUGGGGCCCUGGAAACUGGCAGGAAGGGCCCUUCCAAAUGAUUAUACUUGAGGAGUUCCCAUCGUGGCUCAGUGGUAACAAACCCAACUAGUAUCCAUGAGGAUGCAGGUUCAAUCCCUGGCCUUGCUCAGCAGGUUAAGGAUCUGGCACUGCUAUGGCUGUGGUGUAGGUUGGCAGCUCAGCUCAGAUUCAACCCCUAGCCUGGGAAAUUCCGUAUGAUGCAGGUGUGGCCCUAAAACGACAAAAAAACAAAAAAAAAAAAAAA
rnacentral:lncRNA from 1 species